GAUGAACGCUAGCGACAGGCCUAACACAUGCAAGUCGAGGGGCAGCAUGGUAUCAGCUUGCUGAUACCGAUGGCGACCGGCGCACGGGUGAGUAACGCGUAUCCAACCUGCCCAUCACUUGGGGAUAACCUUGCGAAAGUAAGACUAAUACCCAAUGACGUCUCUAGAAGACAUCUGAAGGAGAUUAAAGAUUUAUCGGUGAUGGAUGGGGAUGCGUCUGAUUAGCUUGUUGGCGGGGUAACGGCCCACCAAGGCGACGAUCAGUAGGGGUUCUGAGAGGAAGGCCCCCCACAUUGGAACUGAGACACGGUCCAAACUCCUACGGGAGGCAGCAGUGAGGAAUAUUGGUCAAUGGACGAGAGUCUGAACCAGCCAAGUAGCGUGCAGGAUGACGGCCCUAUGGGUUGUAAACUGCUUUUAUAAGGGAAUAAAGUGAGUCUCGUGAGACUUUUUGCAUGUACCUUAUGAAUAAGGACC
rnacentral:rRNA from 1 species